rnacentral:rRNA from 1 species
AUACGGAGGAUCCGAGCGUUAUCCGGAUUUAUUGGGUUUAAAGGGUGCGCAGGCGGCCAUUUAAGUCAGCGGUUAAAUCGUGGGGCUCAUCCCCAUUCUGCCGUUGAUACUGGGUGGCUUGAUUGCGGUCGAGGUUGGCGGAAUUCGUUGUGUAGCGGUGAAAUGCAUAGAUAUGACGAAGAACACCGAUUGCGUAGGCAGCUGACCAGACCGCAAAUGACGCUCAUGCACGAAAGUGCGGGGAUCGAACAGGAUUAGAUACCCUGGUAGUCCGCACAGUAAACGAUGAAUACUUGUUUUCGGCGAUAUAAUGUCGGAGGCAAAGCGAAAGCGAUAAGUAUUCCACCUGGGGAGUACGCCGGCAACGGUGAAACUCAAAGGAAUUGGCGGGG